CUUUGUAGCGCGGGUCGAGGUUCCUCGUGCGCGGCGGUGCGAAUUGCUGCGUCACGGGGCUAAGACGGGAAGCCGGUGACAUUCCGUGCGAAUGAAGUCCGGCGCUGCCCCCGCAACUGUGAGCGGCGAGCGGCAUCCCGACAACGCCACUGGCUUGCAUCUUGCCAAGCUGGGAAGGCCGGGCUGCCGUCACGACCCGCGAGCCAGGAGACCUGCCUGCGACGCGAUAACGUUC
rnacentral:ncRNA from 21 species